AUUUGAUGGUGUGGGCAGCUUGCACAUUGUUUCUUGAAACGCUCCCAAUAUUCAUACAAUGACUCUCCAUUAUUUUGCCUUAUACCACAAAUUUCCUUUCUAAUGUU
rnacentral:snoRNA from 1 species